CCCGAAAGAUCGAAAGGGGAGAUUCAUCGUCGACGUCGUUGGCUUCGCCGCGGUUCGCGAUGUCGCGGACCAUUGCGUUCGUGGCACGCGUCCGCGUUGCUGAUGUCCGGCGUCGUCGGCGUGCACUUCUCUCCUAGUAGGACGUCGCGACCCGUUGGGCGUCGGCAUAAGGCCCGUUUGGUAGACUGUCGCGUGGCGUUCGCGCGCCUCGCGUCAGACCAUUUUGGUUGCCCGGCCGGCUGCCCGGCGGUACUCGCACGGUAUAGAGCCGCAAUUGAACUUGCGCCCAGCCCGUCGCAAGCGCGGUCAGCGUUUCCCGGUGGUCGGACCUAGCGCCGUCCCCGGGCCUGACCAGCUGUUAGCUGACGGUGUCCUCGGGCGGGCUCACACGAAAUACCGGUCGGCGACGCUUUUGCUUUGGGUACUUUCA
rnacentral:rRNA from 1 species